rnacentral:rRNA from 1 species
CCUACGGGAGGCAGCAGUAAGGAAUAUUGGACAAUGGAGGCAACUCUGAUCCAGCCAUGCCGCGUGAAGGAAUAAGGCCCUAUGGGUUGUAAACUUCUUUUAGACGGGACAAACCCCUUUACGUGUAAAGGGUUGAUGGUACUGUCAGAAUAAGCAUCGGCUAACUUCGUGC